GAGACACUAGUAAAACAGAUAUUACAUUACCUUGUCAAGGUAAAAUUGCGGGUUAAAACCCCACGUGUCUUA
rnacentral:tRNA from 1 species